UACGUAGGUGGCAAGCGUUGUUCGGAUUUACUGGGCGUAAAGAGCGCGCAGGCGGUCGGAUCAGUCGAAUGUGAAAGCCCCCGGCUCAACUGGGGAGUGUCGUGCGAUACGGGCGGACUGGAGGCCAGUAGGGGGAUGCGGAAUUCCGGGUGUAGUGGUGGAAUGCGUAGAGAUCCGGAGGAACACCAGCGGCGAAGGCGGCAUCCUGGACUGGUCCUGACACUCAGGAGCGAAAGCGUGGGGAGCGAUCCGG
rnacentral:rRNA from 1 species